rnacentral:rRNA from 1 species
GGCAGGCCUAACACAUGCAAGUCGAGCGGUAGCGGGCCUGACCACUCUCGAGUGGUUCAGGUGCCGACGAGCGGCGGACGGGUGCGUAACACGUAGGAAUCUGCCCGGUAGUGGGGGAUAGCCCGGAGAAAUUCGGAUUAAUACCGCAUACGCCCUAAGGGGGAAAGCAGGGGAUCUUCGGACCUUGCGCUAUCGGAUGAGCCUGCGUCGGAUUAGCUGGUUGGUGGGGUAAAGGCCUACCAAGGCGACGAUCCGUAGCUGGUCUGAGAGGAUGAUCAGCCACACUGGGACUGAGACACGGCCCAGACUCCUACGGGAGGCAGCAGUGGGGAAUAUUGCACAAUGGGCGAAAGCCUGAUGCAGCCAUGCCGCGUGUGUGAAGAAGGCCCUAGGGUUGUAAAGCACUUUCAGUGGGGAGGAAAGGUCGAAGGUUAAUACCCUUUGGCUGUGACGUUACCCACAGAAGAAGCACCGGCUAACUCCGUGCCAGCAGCCGCGGUAAUACGGAGGGUGCGAGCGUUAAUCGGAAUUACUGGGCGUAAAGCGUGCGUAGGCGGCCAUUUAAGUUGGAUGUGAAAGCCCCGGGCUCAACCUGGGAACUGCAUCCAAAACUGGGUGGCUUGAGUGCGAGAGAGGAGUGUGGAAUUUCCUGUGUAGCGGUGAAAUGCGUAGAUAUAGGAAGGAACACCAGUGGCGAAGGCGACACUCUGGCUUGACACUGACGCUGAGGUACGAAAGCGUGGGGAGCAAACAGGAUUAGAUACCCUGGUAGUCCACGCCGUAAACGAUGUCUACUAGUUGUCGGUGGUCUUGUACUGCUGGUAACGCAGCUAACGCGAUAAGUAGACCGCCUGGGGAGUACGGCCGC